GAUCUGUUUGCCAUCACUCCCGUUCUGCGUGAUUCCAUCUAUUCCCUUCAGCUGUGGGAUGGAUUGUCUUCAUCUUUCAUAGGUUGUCAGGCCAGAAGGGACCUCGGAAGAUCAUCGGGUCCAGCUCCCUUGCACCAAGCAGGAAAGACAGCCGGGGUCAGGUGGCCCGAUCAAGGUGACCGUCCGGCCUCCUCUUGAGAUUUCCAGGAUGAGGAGAUGAAGCACCGAGGGACCGAGUCAAAUUUGUAAAGGUGAUGUAAAUGAGCUUUCGAGUCAAUAAGUCAGGCCCGAGACUAUUCUGCAGAAUCAAGCCACCUGAGGGGAAGGACCUCAUGUGAUAUCAAAAAGUGUCCUUAACUGGGAGCACUGCGUAGCACAUUCACAAUGCCAGGUGAGUAGUCUGUGCGGGAGUCAAGUGAAUCAAAAGCUUUAUUACAGGUUAAGCCAAGGAGCGUGCUGAGGCCUUUGCUGUAAAGGUGUUCUGGGACCUUCGUUGUGUUUCGGGUUUGGUGUUGCUGACAAACACGAUGGACAAGGCGUGGCAGAGAUUUUAUGUUCGAAAGUCAGUCUUCUUUCAUCUGCUUUAUGCCAACAGAAAUAAUUGUAAAACAGAGUAUUGUGAUUGAGCAUGCCAGCUGUUGUCAGGUGGAGAGAAUGUAGUUAUCCAGACUGGAAUCUGGACUGCGUACCAAGUCAAGUGUGUGGCUAUUUUUCAAUGCUUGUCUUUUUACUGGUUGGUUGAUUCAUCAUCUGUUAAAUACCAUGGCACUUUUGUGUGCAUUGUCUUUGUUUACCGAGCAAUAUAGAUGGGAUUUCUCUGUGCUUUCUUUAGAAGAAGUUCACCUAAAAGAAAAAUCCAGGUUGCAUACAGAACUUUUUUCCUCCUCCUAUCAUCACAGCAGCUCUGAGCUUUUCAGACUUUUCCAAAUGAAACAUGACAUACUUCAUUUAUACAGCCAGACACAUUCAAAAAUAAAUAAAUA